rnacentral:rRNA from 1 species
UCAAGUGACUAAGUGCAUGUGGCGGAUGCCUUGGCGAUCACAGGCGAAGAAAGACGCGGCAGCCUGCGAAAAGCUGCGGGGAGCUGGCAAACGAGCUUUGAUCCGCAGAUAUCUGAAUGGGGGAACCCACACCGCAAGGUGUAUCCGUGACUGAAUACAUAGGUUACGGAGGCGAACGAGGAGAACUGAAACAUCUAAGUAUCCUCAGGAAAAGAAAUCAACCGAGAUUCCGGCAGUAGCGGCGAGCGAACCCGGAGGAGCCUAGCUUUUGAUAGUACGAACUUUAGCCGAAAGGUCCUGGAAAGGCCUGCUAUAGUGGGUGAUAGCCCCGUAGGCGAAAGAGUUCGUAUGGUACUAAGGAAGCGAGAAGUAGAGCGGGACACGUGGAAUCCUGUUCGAAGAUGGGGGGACCAUCCUCCAAGGCUAAAUACUCGUGAUCGACCGAUAGUGAACCAGUACCGUGAGGGAAAGGCGAAAAGAACCCCGGGAGGGGAGUGAAAUAGAACCUGAAACCGCAUGCAUACAAACAGUAGGAGCCUCGUCAGAGGUGACUGCGUACCUUUUGCAUAAUGGGUCAGCGACUUACAUUCUGUGGCGAGCUUAACCGAAUAGGGGAGGCGCAGCGAAAGCGAGUUCGAAAUGAGCGUCCAGUCGCAGGGUGUAGACCCGAAACCAGAUGAGCUAUCCAUGGCCAGGUUGAAGGUGUGGUAACACACACUGGAGGACCGAACCGACUAGUGUUGCAAAAUUAGCGGAUGAGCUGUGGAUAGGGGUGAAAGGCCAAACAAAUCUGGAGAUAGCUGGUUCUCCCCGAAAACUAUUGAGGUAGUGCCUCGUGUGUCGCUCCAGGGGGUAGAGCACUGUUUUGGCUAGGGGGACAUGGAGUCUUACCAAACCAAGGCAAACUCCGAAUACCUGGAAGCGUAAGCACGGGAGACAGAGCACCGGGUGCUAACGUCCGGACUCAAAAGGGAAACAACCCAGACCGCCGGCUAAGGUCCCCAAUAACAGCUAAGUGGAAAACGAAGUGGAAAGGCCGUGACAACCAGGAAGUUGGCUUAGAAGCAGCCAUCCUUCAAAGAAAGCGUAAUAGCUCACUGGUCGAGUCCUUCUGCGCGGAAGAUGUAACGGGGCUAAGCUGUUAACCGAAGCCGCGGAUGCACUGGUUAUCCAGUGCGUGGUAGGGGAGCGUUCUGUAAGUCUGCGAAGGCGGUUCGAGAGGACUGCUGGAGAUAUCAGAAGUGCGAAUGCUGACAUGAGUAACGUUAAAGCAGGUGAAAAGCCUGCUCGCCGUAAGCCCAAGGAUUCCUGCUCUACGUUCAUCGGAGCAGGGUGAGUCGGCUCCUAAGGUCAGGCCGAAAGGCGUAGCCGAUGGGAAUCAGGUUAAUAUUCCUGAACCUGCGUCAGAUGCGAUGGGGGGACGGAGCAUGAAAGAUCAUCCGGGUGUUGGAUGUCCCGGUUGACGAGCGUAGGAGGUCUGCAGGCAAAUCCGCAGACGCAUCUCCAAGGCGAAGUCACGUGCCGCCACGGCGGCGAAGUGAUCGGAAGUGCUUCCAAGAAAAGCCUCUAAGCACCAGUCUGGCGCGGACCGUACCGCAAACCGACACUGGUGGGCGAGCUGAAUAUGCUCAGGCGCUUGAGAGAACUCGGGAGAAGGAACUCGGCAAAUUGACACCGUAACUUCGGAAGAAGGUGUGCCGUAGUAGCGUGAGAGGAGAGACACCUUGAGCGUGAAUCGGUCUCAGAGAAUAGGUGGCUGCGACUGUUUAUUAAAAACACAGCACUCUGCAAAGUCGAAAGACGACGUAUAGGGUGUGAUGCCUGCCCGGUGCUGGAAGAUUAAUUGAUGGGGUGAGAGCCCUUGAUCGAAGUCCCAGUAAACGGCGGCCGUAACUAUAACGGUCCUAAGGUAGCGAAAUUCCUUGUC